GACGAACGCUGGCGGCGUGCUUAAUACAUGCAAGUCGAACGGAAAGGCCCUGCUUUUGUGGGGUGCUCGAGUGGCGAACGGGUGAGUAACACGUGAGUAACCUGCCCUUGACUUUGGGAUAACUUCAGGAAACUGGGGCUAAUACCGGAUAGGAGCUCCUGCUGCAUGGUGGGGGUUGGAAAGUUUCGGCGGUUGGGGAUGGACUCGCGGCUUAUCAGUUUGUUGGUGGGGUAGCGGCUUACCAAGGCUUUGACGGGUAGCCGGCCUGAGAGGGUGACCGGCCACAUUGGGAAUGAGAUACGGCCCAGACUCCUACGGGAGGCAGCAGUGGGGAAUAUUGCACAAUGGGCGGAAGCCUGAUGCAGCAACGCCGCGUGCGGGAUAACGGCCUUCGGGUUAUAAACCGCUUUCGCCUGUGACGAAGCGUGAGUGACGGUAAUGGGUAAAGAAGCACCGGCUAACUACGUG
rnacentral:rRNA from 1 species